rnacentral:ncRNA from 1 species
UGCAUUGUCUGUAGAAAUUGGGAAUCCAAUUUCUCUGUGUUGGGGCCCCGCCAACUUGCAUUGUCUGUAGAAAUUAGGAAUCCAAUUUCUCUGUGUUGGGGCCCCGCCAACUUGCAUUGUCUGUAGAAUUUCUUUUCGAAAUUCUCUAUGUUGGGGCCCACCCCAACUUGCACAUUAUUGUAAGCUGACUUACCGUCAGCUUCUAUGUUGGGGCCCCGCUAUAAUUGAAAAAUGCUUGUUAUAGGUGUAUUUUCUUUUGGUUAACUAUUGGUAAUAUAUCAUUGUAGAUUUUAGGAUGUUGAUUUAU